rnacentral:rRNA from 1 species
GGAGUUAGCCGGUGCUUCUUCUGCGAGUAACGUCACAGAUGUAAGGUAUUAACUUACACCCUUUCCUCCUCGCUGAAAGUGCUUUACAACCCGAAGGCCUUCUUCACACACGCGGCAUGGCUGCAUCAGGGUUUCCCCCAUUGUGCAAUAUUCCCCACUGCUGCCUCCCGUAGGAGUCUGGGCCGUGUCUCAGUCCCAGUGUGGCUGAUCAUCCUCUCAGACCAGCUAGGGAUCGUCGCCUAGGUGAGCCUUUACCUCACCUACUAGCUAAUCCCACCUGGGCUUAUCCAUCAGCGCAAGGCCCGAAGGUCCCCUGCUUUCCCCCGUAGGGCGUAUGCGGUAUUAGCAGUCGUUUCCAACUGUUAUCCCCACAAAUGGGCAAAUUCCCAGGCAUUACUCACCCGUCCGCCGCUCGUCAUCUUCAAAGCAAGCUUUUGAAAUGUUACCGCUCGACUUGCAUGUGUUAGGCCUGCCGCCAGCGUUCAAUCUGAGCCAGAUCAAACUCUGA